rnacentral:rRNA from 1 species
GGGUGAGUAACGCGUGGGCAACCUGCCUCAUACUGGGGGAUAGCAGUUGGAAACGACUGAUAAUACCGCAUAAGCGCACAGAGUCGCAUGACUCAGUGUGAAAAACUCCGGUGGUAUGAGAUGGGCCCGCGUCAGAUUAGCUAGUUGGUAAGGUAACGGCUUACCAAGGCGACGAUCUGUAGCCGGACUGAGAGGUCGGACGGCCACAUUGGGACUGAGACACGGCCCAAACUCCUACGGGAGGCAGCAGUGGGGGAUAUUGCACAAUGGAGGAAACUCUGAUGCAGCGACGCCGCGUGAGUGAAGAAGUAUUUCGGUAUGUAAAGCUCUAUCAGCAGGGAAGAAAGACCCGCAAGGGAGAUGACGGUACCUGACUAAGAAGCCCCGGCUAACUACGUGCCAGCAGCCGCGGUAAUACGUAGGGGGCAAGCGUUAUCCGGAUUUACUGGGUGUAAAGGGAGCGCAGACGGCCUGGCAAGUCUGAAGUGAAACCCCACGGCUCAACCGUGGGCUUGCUUUGGAAACUGUCAAGCUAGAGUACUGGAGAGGUAAGCGGAAUUCCUAGUGUAGCGGUGAAAUGCGUAGAUAUUAGGAGGAACAUCGGUGGCGAAGGCGGCUUA